UUAUAUGUACAUUCCUGCAACAUUAAUGCACAUGAUCCCAUUAGAUCUUUGUAGUUAAGUGUGCUUGGGAUAGAGUAGUAUUGGGAUGGGUGACCUCCCUGGAAGUCUUAUUGUUUUACAUGGC
rnacentral:rRNA from 1 species